UGGGCGAAACUGACGGAGCAACCGCGUGGAGGUGGAAGGCCUACGGGUCGUCAACUUCUUUUCUCGGAGAAGAAACCAUGACGGUAUCUGAGGAAUAAGCAUCGGCUAACUCUGUGCCAGCAGCCGCGGUAAGACAGAGGAUGCAAGCGUUAUCCGGAAUGAUUGGGCGUAAAGCGUCUGUAGGUGGCUUUUCAAGUCCGCCGUCAAAUCCCAGGGCUCA
rnacentral:ncRNA from 1 species